GUUUUUAUAGUUUAAACUACCAAAACAUUGGUCUUGUAAACCAAUAAUGAAUUCUAUUUCUAAAAACU
rnacentral:tRNA from 1 species